AACUCCGCUCAGGACGAACGCUGGCGGCGUGCUUAACACAUGCAAGUCGAACGAUGAAGCCUUCGGGUGGAUUAGUGGCGAACGGGUGAGUAACACGUGGGAAAUCUGCCCUGCACUCUGGGACAAGCCUUGGAAACGAGGUCUAAUACCGGAUAUGACCUGUCCUCGCAUGGGGAUGGGUGGAAAGCUCCGGCGGUGCAGGAUGAUCCCGCGGCCUAUCAGCUUGUUGGUGGGGUAAUGGCCUACCAAGGCGACGACGGGUAGCCGGCCUGAGAGGGCGACCGGCCACACUGGGACUGAGACACGGCCCAGACUCCUACGGGAGGCAGCAGUGGGGAAUAUUGCACAAUGGGCGAAAGCCUGAUGCAGCGACGCCGCGUGAGGGAUGAAGGCCUUCGGGUCGUAAACCUCUUUCAGCAGGGAAGAAGCGCAAGUGACGGUACCUGCAGAAGAAGCACCGGCUAACUACGUGCCAGCAGCCGCGGUAAUACGUAGGGUGCGAGCGUUGUCCGGAAUUAUUGGGCGUAAAGAGCUCGUAGGCGGCUUGUCACGUCGGAUGUGAAAGCCCGGGGCUUAACCCCGGGUCUGCAUUCGAUACGGGCAGGCUAGAGUGUGGUAGGGGAGAUCGGAAUUCCUGGUGUAGCGGUGAAAUGCGCAGAUAUCAGGAGGAACACCGGUGGCGAAGGCGGAUCUCUGGGCCAUUACUGACGCUGAGGAGCGAAAGCGUGGGGAGCGAACAGGAUUAGAUACCCUGGUAGUCCACGCCGUAAACGGUGGGAACUAGGUGUUGGCGACAUUCCACGUCGUCGGUGCCGCAGCUAACGCAUUAAGUCCCCGCCU
rnacentral:rRNA from 1 species